AUUGAACGCUGGCGGCAGGCCUAACACAUGCAAGUCGAACGAGUGGCGGACGGGUGAGUAAUGUCUGGGCAACUGCGUGAUGGAGGGGGAUCACUACCGGAAACUGUAGCUAAUACCGCAUACCAUAGGAUGUGCCCAGAUGGGAUGAGCUAGUAGUGGGGGUAAAGGCUCACCUAGGCGGCGAUCCCUAGCUGGUCUGAGAGGAUGACCAGCCACACUGGAAAUGAGACACGGUCCAGACUCCUACGGUAGGCCGCAGGGGGGAAAAUUGGACAAUGGGCGAAAGCCUGAUGCAGCCAUGCCGCGUGUAUGAAGAAGGCCUUCGGGGUGUAAAGUACUUUUAGCGGGGAGGCGUUACCCGCAGAAUAAGCACCGGCUAACUCCGUGCCAGCAGCCGCGGUAAUUC
rnacentral:rRNA from 1 species